CCCACCCUGGGGCAGCGUUCUGCGGCGUGCGGAGUACGGCAUGAGCGUCCUCGUGAGGGGCGGCUCCGGGCGGCUGUGUGCGGCGGCUCGCGAGGUCAUUCCUUGUCUUUGGAGCGGGAAAUGCUUCAGCUCUGGGAGAGAGCCGGCAGAAAACCAAGUGACGCCAAUGCUGCGGCAUCUUGUAUAUAAAAUCAAGGCAACUGGCCCCAUCACUGUGGCUGAGUACAUGAAGGAGGUCUUGACCAACCCCGCCAAGGGAUAUUAUGUGCAUCGUGACAUGCUUGGAGAAAAAGGAGAUUUUAUCACUUCACCGGAAAUAAGUCAGAUCUUUGGGGAGCUUCUAGGUAUAUGGUUCAUUAGCGAAUGGAUGGCCACUGGAAAAAAUGCAGCUUUCCAACUGGUGGAACUGGGCCCAGGCAAGGGUACCCUCGCGGGAGAUAUUUUGAGGGUGUUCAGCCAGCUUGGAUCUGUGCUGAAAACCUGUGACAUUUCAAUACAUAUGGUAGAGGUGAGUGAAAAAUUGAGUGAGAUUCAGGCAUUAACCCUGACUGAAGAGAAGAUCCCGCUGGAGCGAAAUGCUGGAUCCUCUGUAUAUAUGAAAGGAGUUACGAAAUCUGGGAUUCCCAUUUCAUGGUACCGAGAUCUGCACGAUGUUCCAAAAGGGUACAGCUUUUAUCUUGCACAUGAAUUUUUUGACGUUCUUCCUGUCCAUAAGUUUCAGAAAACACCACAAGGAUGGCGAGAAGUAUUCAUUGAUAUUGAUCCACAAGUUUCUGAUAAGCUGCGGUUUGUUUUGGCGCCUUGUGUCACGCCAGCAGAAGUCUUCAUACAACGUGAUGAAAUAAGAGACCACGUGGAAGUGUGUCCUGAGGCCGGCGUUAUUAUUCAGGAGCUUUCUCAGCGCAUUGCAUUAACUGGAGGUGCUGCUCUGAUUGCCGACUAUGGUCAUGAUGGAACGAAGACCGAUACCUUCAGAGGGUUUUGUGGCCACAAGCUUCAUGAUGUCCUGACUGCCCCAGGAACAGCAGAUCUCACAGCUGAUGUGGACUUCAGUUACCUGCGCAGAAUGGCAGAGGGACAAGUAGCUUCUCUGGGGCCAAUAAAACAACAGACAUUUUUAAAAAAUAUGGGCAUUGAUGUCCGACUGAAGGUUCUUUUAGACAAAUCAGAUGAGCCAGCCAGGCAACAGUUACUUCAGGGGUAUGAUAUGUUAAUGAAUCCUAAGAAGAUGGGAGAAAGAUUUAACUUUUUUGCCUUGCUACCCCAUCAGAGACUUCAUGGUAGAAGCCAUCCGAUGAAUACAUGUCAGUCAAAACCCUCUGUGUCACCUGUAGCUGGGUUUGGUGAACUUGCCUGGCGGUGACCUGUGUGGACAUUUUACUCCUAUGUCUGACUAAGAUAAAGGGAACACGUCUCAUAUAUUACAGUUACUUGAAGAAAUGGAGCAGCUGCAAAACCAAAACCAUACUGCAUACUGACUACGGCCCUAUGUGACGGUACAUUUGAAAUACUGAUACAAAAGCCUGGACCCAGGGAUGAGUCAAGUGAAAGAUUUACAUUAUAACCGGUUCUGUUUCUCUUCUGCAUACCACAGGUAUUUUAUGAACUCCUCUGUGUUCCAAAUACUUCCCAUUUUGAUCCGCUGUUCCUUAAGUGGUUAUCCACCAUGUGCAUCAGAAUUAUUUGGGGGGUAUUUGCUAAAAUGCAUUCCUGGUGUCCUUCUCACUGGUGAAGUGGAAUCUCUGGGAUAUAGCCAGGCAUUUUUGUCUUCGUACACUCACUAAUUGAUUCCGAUAUGAGAGGGUCUGCACACCACACUGCCCCCAGGAACUCUAAGAGAAACCCUCAUAUAUACUUCAAUUAGUUGUUCAUUACCAAGUAAGCUAGUUACUGUCUUCACAUGUUGUUCCUCAAACUUUACCAGUUUAAUGGGCUGUUAAUUCCUAGGAUUAGGCCUGCUACUUUUGGAAAAUCAAAAAGACCCCUGUUCCAAAGGUUGGCUAAAUCCAGGUGGGGAUAUUCUCUAAUAGGGUUCUAUUCAGUAUGGGACCAUUUAGUACAUUGUGUGCCCUUCCUGGUAGUAUCAAACUAAAGAGGCAUAGCCAAGGCAUUCUUGAUAGGUAUAGAACCCAGGCUUGCAGGCUCAAAAACCUUUACUGGGCAGGGAAAACCAGUGUGUAUCCUGCUUCCUAGGACUGGGCCACAGGAGGGCUGCAAACAAACUGGUGAAUGUCUAUACAGUUCAUUCUAGGUAACUAGCUUACAAUCUGGUUCUGAAAAUAAUUAUGAAAAGAAAGAAUACUUAAGGAGAAAUCUCUCCUGCUAGUAGCCUAAAUUUAUCUUACAAAGUUUAGAGAAAGGGCUCAGGGAAGACUUCACAGAUGAGCCACGAGUUAAGGGCCCUUGAGUGACUGCAUGGAUUUCAGCUGCGAGGCAGAGGGACUGUAGGCAGGUGAAAGGCCCAAGCAAAAUGUAGAAAGUAGUUGGCAAGAGUAGACAGGUUUUCUGUAGGGGGGGCAAGGGAGGGGAGGAUGGAAGGUAAAUUCAGGCUGUCUCAGAUCUACAGCUGCAACGUGGUUAAAGGGAGGCCAAGAUGUCUGGGGCAGAAAAAGACAAAAGUAAUGUUUCCUGAACACAGAUUUGGCAGCAGUAGUGACUGGGAAGGACCAAGAAAGAAUCUAGUGGACAGGACCAUUAAGAUAGUCCUAUGGGAUUAGCCCUAUGCCUGGGUACUAGACAGAAGUUAGAGAAGAGACCAUGCAAAAGGAGGACUGCUCAAAAAUUGGCUGAAUUGAAAGAUGAAUAUGAGAAAUUGAUGAGACAGGAGAGACAUGCUGAUUUGGGAUCACAAAGAUUUUUAGACUAAACGGCACAGAGCUAAAGCU